rnacentral:rRNA from 1 species
UACGUAGGGCGCAAGCGUUGUCCGGAAUUAUUGGGCGUAAAGAGCUCGUAGGCGGUGUGUCGCGUCGGCCGUGAAAACCUGCAGCUUAACUGUGGGCUUGCGGUCGAUACGGGCAUCACUGGAGUUCGGUAGGGGAGACUGGAAUUCCUGGUGUAGCGGUGAAAUGCGCAGAUAUCAGGAGGAACACCGAUGGCGAAGGCAGGUCUCUGGGCCACUACUGACGCUGAGAAGCGAAAGCAUGGGGAGCGAACAGG